GAUGAACGCUGGCGGCGUGCUUAACACAUGCAAGUCGAACGGUGACGCAGAGCUUGCUCUGUGGAUCAGUGGCGAACGGGUGAGUAACACGGGAGCAACCUGCCCCUGACCCUGGGAUAAGCGCUGGACACGGCGUCUAAUACUGGAUACGAACCUCGACCGCAGGGUCAGCGGGUGGAAAGAUUUUUUGGUUGGGGAUGGGAUCGCGGCCUGUCAGCUUGUUGGUGAGUUAAUGGGUCACCAAGGCGUCGACGGUUAGCCGGCCUGAGAGGGGGACCGGCCACACUGGGACUGAGACACGGCCCAGACUCAUACGGGAGGCAGCAGUGGGGAAUAUUGCACAAUGGGCGCAAGCCUGAUGCAGCAACGCCGCGUGAGGGAUGACGGCCUUCGUGUUGUAAACCUCUUUUAGCAGGGAAGAAGCGAAAGUGACGGUACCUGCAGAAAAAGCGCCGGCUAACUACGUGCCAGCCGCCGCGGUAA
rnacentral:rRNA from 1 species